rnacentral:tRNA from 3 species
GUUCUCGUAGUUAAAUGGAUAUAACGGCCCCCUCCUAAGGGGCAGUUGGGGGUUCGAUUCCCUCCGGGAACG